rnacentral:misc_RNA from 1 species
UUAUUAGUUUAUUAUAAAACGUUUACAUUCAUAAGACUUGAGUUAUUGUAUAAAAAUGAUGGCGAGUUCGUUAAUAAGCUUGCGCUUACUAACAAUCUACAACCAUAACAGUGCACAGGUGUAUGUGGAUGUGAAGGGUUGAGGCGUCUUAGAUGUUUUACGUCUAGUACGACCUCAGUUUAAUCACUAGUGAUCCUUCCGCAGGUUCACCUACGGAAA